rnacentral:rRNA from 1 species
UACGGAGGGUGCGAGCGUUGUCCGGAAUCAUUGGGCGUAAAGGGCGCGUAGGUGGCGCGGUAAGCGUGCGGUGAAAGCCUGGGGCUCAACCCCGGGUCGGCCGUGCGAACUGCUGGGCUUGAGCACUGUAGAGGCAGGCGGAAUUCCGGGUGUAGCGGUGGAAUGCGUAGAGAUCCGGAAGAACACCGGUGGCGAAGGCGGCAUCCUGGACCAACACUGACACUGAGGAGCGAAAGCCAGGGGAGCAAACGGG